AUGAACGCUGGCGGCGUGCUUAACACAUGCAAGUCGAACGGGAAACCUUUUAUUGAAGCUUCGGCAGAUUUAGCUGGUUUCUAGUGGCGGACGGGUGAGUAACGCGUGGGUAACCUGCCUUAUACAUGGGGAUAACAACCAGAAAUGGUUGCUAAUACCGCAUAAGCGCACAGGACCGCAUGGUCCGGUGUGAAAAACUCCGGUGGUAUAAGAUGGACCCGCGUUGGAUUAGCUAGUUGGCAGGGUAACGGCCUACCAAGGCGACGAUCCAUAGCCGGCCUGAGAGGGUGAACGGCCACAUUGGGACUGAGACACGGCCCAGACUCCUACGGGAGGCAGCAGUGGGGAAUAUUGCACAAUGGGGGAAACCCUGAUGCAGCGACGCCGCGUGAAGGAAGAAGUAUCUCGGUAUGUAAACUUCUAUCAGCAGGGAAGAUAGUGACGGUACCUGACGAAGAAGCCCCGGCUAACUACGUG
rnacentral:rRNA from 1 species